rnacentral:rRNA from 1 species
CCUACGGGAGGCAGCAGUAGGGAAUCUUGCACAAUGGACGAAAGUCUGAUGCAGCAACGCCGCGUGAGUGAAGAAGGGUUUCGGCUCGUAAAGCUCUGUCAGCAGUGAAGAAAGAUAGAUGUAGUAACUAGCCUUUAUUUGACGGUAAUUACUUAGAAAGUCACGGCUAACUACGUGCCAGCAGCCGCGGUAAUACGGAGGGGGCAAGCGUUGUCCGGAAUUAUUGGGCGUAAAGCGAGUGCAGGCGGUACGAUAAGUCUGAUGUGAAAGCCUUGGGCUCAACCGGAGAAUUGCAUCAGAAACUGUUGAACUUGAGUGCAGAAGAGGAGAGUGGAAUUCCAGGUGUAGCGGUGGAAUGCGUAGAUAUAUGGAAGAACACCAGUGGCGAAGGCGGCUAUCUGGUCUGCAACUGACGCUGAGGCUCGAAAGCGUGGGUAGCGAACAGGAUUAGAUACCCGGGUAGUC